AGUAAUGUCCAAUUUGGAACGCUGGAAUGGAAUGUGGGAAGAAUCAGACUCUCCGGCUUUUCACCGGCAGGAAUUGAAUCCGUUCAUUCUGAAGUUUCAGUCUGAAAUCAUACCCGAAGACAAGACUGCCGCUAUUUUCAUCCCACUGUGUGGAAAAGCACUGGAAAUAAAGUUCUUCCACGACCUCGGAGCUACAAUUAUAGGCUUAGAAGGCAACGAGAAAGCAAUUAAGCUGCUAUCCAAAGAGCAAAAUCUGGACCUGAAAGAACAACCAAUCGCAGGCUUCGAAAAGUGUUCACAAACACGCAGAACACAAUUCAGAUAUACUGUGGAGACUUGUUCGAGUUCUCCCCCAAAUACCUCAUUAGUCCUGCU